AUUGAACGCUGGCGGCAGGCCUAACACAUGCAAGUCGAACGGUAACAGGAAGAAGCUUGCUUCUUUGCUGACGAGUGGCGGACGGGUGAGUAAUGUCUGGGAAACUGCCUGAUGGAGGGGGAUAACUACUGGAAACGGUAGCUAAUACCGCAUAACGUCGCAAGACCAAAAAGGGGGACCUUCGGGCCUCUUGCCAUCGGGUGUGCCCAGAUGGGAUUAGCUAGUAGGUGGGGUAACGGCUCACCUAGGCGACGAUCCCUAGCUGGUCUGAGAGGAUGAUCAGCCACACUGGAACUGAGACACGGUCCAUACUCCUACGGGAGGCAGCAGUGGGGAAUAUUGCACAAUGGGCGCAAGCCUGAUGCAGCCAGGCCGCGUGUAUGAAGAAGGCCUUCGGGUUGUAAAGUACUUUCAGCGGUGAGGAAGGGAGUAAAGUUAAUACCUUUGCUCAUUGACGUUACCCGCAGAAGAAGCACCGGCUAACUCCGUG
rnacentral:rRNA from 1 species